AUGGGAUGGCAAUGUCCACAUAGUGCAGAGGAGAAUUGUUACAGAGCAAUGCUAGAUGAAGGAGCUGAGGCUGGAGAAGUUAAGAGACCCCUGCUAGACAGGAAGGCACGUGAGAAGUAUACUGCUCUGUCUCCUGUGGAGUAAAAAGACUUUAGCGUUCUCAGAAGAAAACCAAAUGAGAUCACACGAAUGAGACUGCUGGAGCAAUCUAAUGCAAAUAUCUACUACAGAUUAUCAAAAGGAAAAAAAAGGAGGAGAUAGGGAAGCUUAAGGGAGGAGUGCUGUGAAGAAUGGUGUCAUUUCUUCUGGACUGCUACUAAGUAAAAGUUAUCUUCUCACCUCACUCACCAAUUCCUGCCUUAGUACCACAGCAAUUAUCUUUGCCUAAACACAUUCACAGGGAAAAAUGUUCAGGUUUUUGGAGAAGAGCUACAAGUGGUGGACGGUGGCCACAGUGAAGAGUGGGGUAACUUAGACUAAACACUCUAGGAACCUUCAGAAUAAAUUUUUCCAAACUGCAGCUUAUUACAUGGGUCACACAAGGACAGUUUGCAGCAUAAGGACAGCUAGCUGUUAUACAAGAACAUGUGUCUGACACAGUCUCACAAGCCUAGUCCAAAACUACAAGGGCCUAACUGUAACUCCAGGAUUACAAGUCCUACCUAAUAACUAUUGACACUCGCCAGUCAGAACUCACCAGCUCUUUUGUUGCUGCUAGCACCAAUAAGCUUUCUUCCAAAACCAACGCAUAGCCUCCGCUUUUCCCAAUAAACUCUAACCUUUUCCUU
rnacentral:antisense_RNA from 1 species